rnacentral:rRNA from 1 species
GAUGAACGCUAGCGAUAGGCUUAACACAUGCAAGUCGAGGGGCAGCACAAGGUAGCUUGCUAUCUGGGUGGCGACCGGCGCACGGGUGCGUAACGCGUAUGCAACUUGCCCUAUACAGGAGGAUAACCCGUCGAAAGACGGACUAAUACUGCGUAUGCUCACAACUUGGCAUCAAGUGGUGAGGAAAGAAAUUCGGUAUAGGAUAGGCAUGCGUCCCAUUAGCUUGUUGGUGAGGUAACGGCUCACCAAGGCAACGAUGGGUAGGGGAACUGAGAGGUUUAUCCCCCACACUGGUACUGAGACACGGACCAGACUCCUACGGGACGCAGCAGUGAGGAAUAUUGGUCAAUGGGCGCGAGCCUGAACCAGCCAAGUCGCGUGAAGGAUGACUGUCUUAUGGAUUGUAAACUUCUUUUAUACGGGAAUAACAAGAGUCACGUGUGACUCCCUGCAUGUACCGUAUGAAUAAGCAUCGGCUAACUCCGUG